AACGGGGGGGGCUAGCGUUAUUCAUCAUUAAUGGGCGUAAAGGGUAUGUAGGUGGAUAAUUUUUUCUUACGUUAAAACACAAAGCAUUUUUUUUGUUCGUCGUUCGAAAACAACGGUCUCGAGAUGUUGUGCGGCUAGUGGAAUUACUAAUGUAGGGGUAAAAUUUGUUGAUCUUAGUACGAAUAUCGGGUGGCGAAGGCAGCUUUCUCACAUAUCUGACAUUGAAAUACGAAAGCAUGGGGAUCAAACAGG
rnacentral:rRNA from 1 species